GAUGAACGCUGGCGGCGUGCCUAACACAUGCAAGUCGAGCGAACAGACGAGAAGCUUGUUUCUUUGACGUUAGCGGCGCAGGGGUGAGGAACACGUGGAUAAACCACCUAUAAGACUGGGAUAACUUCGGGAAACCGGAGCUAAUACCGGAAGAUAUUCUGAACCGCAUAGUUCAAAAGUGAAGGACGGUCUUGCUGUCGCUUAUAGAUGGAUCCGCGCUGGAUUAGCUAGUUGGUAAGGUAACGGCUUACCAAGGCAACGAUGCAUAGCCGACCUGAGAGGGUGAUCGGCCACACUGGAACUGAGACACGGUCCAGACUCCUACGGGAGGCAGCAGUGGGGAAUGUUACGCAAUGGGCGAAAGCCUGACGGAGCAACGCCGCGUGAGUGAUGAAGGUCUUCGGAUCGUAAAACUCUGUUAUUAGGGAAGAACAUAUGUGUAAGUAACUGUGCACUUAUUGACGGUACCUAAUGAGAAAGCACCGGCUAACUACGUG
rnacentral:rRNA from 1 species